rnacentral:rRNA from 10 species
GGUAGAGUAUACCAAGGGGCGCGAGAUAACUCUCUCUAAGGAACUCGGCAAAAUGGCCCCGUAACUUCGGGAGAAGGGGCGCCCUCAAUUAAGAGGGCCGCAGUGACCAGGCCCAGGCGACUGUUUACCAAAAACACAGGUCUCCGCUAAGUCGUAAGACAAUAUAUGGGGGCCGACACCUGCCCAGUGCCGGAAGGUGAAGGAAGUUGGUUAC